rnacentral:rRNA from 1 species
AUCAACGCUGGCGGCGUGCCUAACACAUGCAAGUCGCACGAGAAAGUGGAGCAAUCCAUGAGUACAGUGGCGCACGGGUGAGUAACACGUGAAUCAUCUACCUCCGAGUGGGGAAUAACCUAGAGAAAUCUGGGCUAAUACCGCAUAACACUUACGAGUCAAAGCAGCAAUGCGCUUGGAGAGGAGUUCGCGGCCGAUUAGCUAGUUGGCGGGGUAAUGGCCCACCAAGGCGAUGAUCGGUAUCCGGCCUGAGAGGGCGCACGGACACACUGGAAC